rnacentral:rRNA from 1 species
UAGGGAAUCUUCCGCAAUGGACGCAAGUCUGACGGAGCAACGCCGCGUGAGUGAAGAAGGUUUUCGUUUCGUAAAACUCUGUUGUUAGCGAAAAACAGCGCAUAGAGUAACUGUUAUGCGUGUGACGGUAUCUAACCAGAAAGCCACGGCUAACUACGUGCCAGCAUCCGCGGUAAUACGUAGGUGGCAAGCGUUGUCCGGAUUUAUUGGGCGUAAAGCGAGCGCAGGCGGUAAAUUAAGGCUGAUGUGAAAGCCCCCGGCUCAACCGGGGGGGGUCAUUGGAAACGGGUUGACUUGAGUGCAGAAGAGGAGAGUGGAAGUCCAUGUGGAGCGGUGAAAUGCGUAGAUAUAUGGGGGAACACCAGUGGCGAAGGCGACUCUCUGGUCUGUAACUGACGCUGAGGCUCGAAAGCGUGGGUAGCAAACAGG